GGGAGUGAAGUGGUGUCUGUUGGCGCUGGAGAGAUAAGACAGGGAGUCCUUUCAAACAGCCAGUCAGGCUGUACUGCAGUUACCCACAGAGAAAGGGACAGAGAGGGAUAGGGGAAAGAGAGAGAAAAACAGAGAGAAUGGUAGGAGAAACACAGUGAAGGGGAGAGCGGAAGAGGCAGGGAUAAAAGGGAAGGUGACAGAGAGAGGGGAGAGGAAGAAAGAAGUACAGCGGGGGUAUGAAAGAAGAGCGGGAGAGGCAGAGAUAAAAGGGAAGGUGACAGAGAGAGGGGAGAGGAAGAAAGAAGUACAGCGGGGGUAUGAAAGAAGAGCGGGAGAGGCAGGGAUUAAAGGGAAGGUGACAGAGAGAGAGGGGAGAGGAAGAAAGAAGUACAGCGGGGGUAUGAAAGAAGAGCGGGAGAGGCAGAGAUAAAAGGGAAGGUGACAGAGAGAGAGGGGAGAGGAAGAAAGAAGUACAGCGGGGGUAUGAAAGAAGAGCGGGAGAGGCAGAGAUAAAAGGGAAGGUGACAGAGAGAGAGGGGAGAGGAAGAAAGAAGUACAGCGGGGGUAUGAAAGAAGAGCGGGAGAGGCAGAGAUAAAAGGGAAGGUGACAGAGAGAGAGGGGAGAGGAAGAAAGAAGUACAGCGGGGGUAUGAAAGAAGAGCGGGAGAGGCAGAGAUAAAAGGGAAGGUGACAGAGAGAGGGGAGAGGAAGAAAGAAGUACAGCGGGGGUAUGAAAGAAGAGCGGGAGAGGCAGAGAUAAAAGGGAAGGUGACAGAGAGAGGGGAGAGGAAGAAAGAAGUACAGCGGGGGUAUGAAAGAAGAGCGGGAGAGGCAGAGAUAAAAGGGAAGGUGACAGAGAGAGAGGGGAGAGGAAGAAAGAAGUACAGUGGGGGUAUGAAAGAAGAGCGGGAGAGGCAGGGAUUAAAGGGAAGGUGACAGAGAGAGGGGAGA